GCUGGGCGUGGUGGCGCACACCUGUAGUCUCAGCUACUGGGGAGGCUGAGGCAGAAGAAUCGCUUGAACCCAGGAGGCGGAGGUUGCAGUGAGCGGAGAUCACGCCACUGCACUCCAGCCUGGGUGACAGAGCAAGACUCUGUCUCAA
ensembl:misc_RNA Metazoa_SRP Metazoan signal recognition particle RNA